rnacentral:lncRNA from 1 species
AGACUCUGUUUCAAAAAAGAAAAAAAUCAGUAAGAUAUAGAAGAUUGAAAAACAUGAUUAACUAACUUGGUCCAUAAAAUAUUGCACCAACAAUAUAGAAAACACAUUCUUUUCAAGUACACUAAUAUGGUUUGGAUUUGUGUCCCCACCCAAAUCUCAUGUCAAAUUGUAACCACCAUUGUUGUGGGAGGGGCCUGGUGGGAGGUGAUUGAAUCAUGGAGGCAGACUUCCCCCUUGCUGUGCUCAUGAUAAGGAAUGAGUUCUCAUGAGACCUGGUUGCUUAAAAGAAAAAUCAAUGAUAUCAAAAAUAAAUCUAUGCUGGAAAAAAUCCACAAAGACAAGAAUUGAUUUUUUGAGAAGAAUAAUAAAAUUGAUAAACUCCUAGCAACUAAUCCAUAACAAAGAAAACACAAAUUGUCAUCUUUAUGAAUAAAAUAAGGGAUAUCACUACAUAUCCUACAGACAUUAAAAAUGUGAAAAGAUACUAUGAACAACCUUAUGUCAACAAACUAAAAAUAGAGAUUUUCCAAGGAAAAAGUCCUUGGAAAGCACAAUUUACCAAAACUGAUACAAGAAAUAGAAAAUUUGAAUGGUUAUACAAUUAUUAACUAUUCAAUAGUUAAAUAAAUUAACUGGUCAACUGUUAAAUAAAUUGAAUCAAUUAUUAAAAGGCUUCUACUGAGAAAACAUCAAGGCCAUAUGGUUUUGGUCUCAGAUUGGUUUCCCUGGAAACAGAUUCUGAGAUGCUGAAUUUCAUGCAGGAGUGGGAGACACAUCUGUAGGAAACUGGUGUUUCUGACAGGAUUGGCCAGAAAUAAAAACUGACUCACAAUGCAGUUGCAACCCAGGCCUCAGCCAAGCCCUAGAGCUGAGAUAACCAUUGAGAAUUGAAUCAAUUUGAGGAAAGGGGCUAGGCUUUAGUAUUCCUAUCUUAGCACCCUGAAAAUAAGCUUAAUCUUGGGUGAGGCAGUUCCCUGCAGCUGAAGGUAGCUCCCAAGGAGGAACAUGUUGUGAGCUGUCAGCAUCAGACAUUUGAGCAGUUGGAGAAAGGGUGCAUUAAACCUUAGAAGAGAUUUAGGUUGAGUACCAGAGUAUCCAAUAAGGUUGCACUGGUGAUUUUUCCAAACAUGUAAGGAAUAAAAUCUUACACAAACUCUUCCAGAGAAUAGGAAAAGAGGAAUCAAUUCUCAACUCAUUUUAUGAGGUUGACACUAAAACUUAACAAGGACAUUAGGAGAAAGGAAAAUUAUAGAUCAAUAUCACUUAUUAAUAUAUAGUCAAUAUCCUAAAUAAAAUAUAAACAAAUAGAAUCUAACAAUACAUAAAAUAAGAAAAUAUUAUUACCAAUUAGUAUGUAUUUCAGGAAUAUAAGGUUGGUUUAACAUCUGAAAUCAAGGUAUUUCAUCCACACUAACAAAAUAAAGGAGAAAAUCCAUAGGAUAAUUUCAAUAAAGAAGGAAAAGCAUUUUACAAUAUGCAACAUCUAUUCACGCCAAAAGAAAAUGUUCAGUUGGGCAAGGUGGUUCACACCUGUAAUGCCAACACUUUGGGAUUCUGAGGUGAGGAGAUCACUUGAAGCCAGGAGUUUCAGACCAGCCUGGGCAACAUAGCAAGACUCCAUCGCUACAAAAAAAUUUUUUUAAAUUAACUGGGCAUGGUGGCAUGCACCCGUAAUCUCAGCUACUCAGGAGGCUGAGGUGGGAGGAUCGCUUGAUCCCAGGAGUUCAAGGCUGUUAAGCUAUGAUCCCACUAGUAAACUGUAGCCUGAGUGACAGAGCAAGACCCUCUCGAAAGAAAGAAAGAAAGGAAGGAAGGAAGGAAGGAAGGAAAGAAAAAAGGAAGGAAGGAAGGAAGGAGAGUUCUCAGCAGACUAAACAGAAGAAAAAUUUCUUAAUCUGAUAUAGAAUAUCUACAAGAAAGCUACAGCUAACAUCAUAUUCAAUGGUGAAAUAUUGAACAUUUUUCCCCAAGGUCAAGGAUGUUCACUCGUUUUUGUUUUGUUUUGUUUUGUUCUGUUUUGUUUUGUUUUUUGGUUGUUGAGACAGAAUCUCACUCUGUCGCCAGGCUGGAGUGGAGUGAUACAAUCUCAGCUCACUGCAACCUCCACGUCCUGGGUUCAAGUGAUUUUCCUGUCUCAGCCUCCCGAGUAGCUGGGACUACAGGCGUGUGCCACCACACCUGGCUAAUUUUUGUACUUUUAGUAGAGACCAUGUUUCACCAUGUUGGCCAGGAUGGUGUCAAUCUCUUAACCUUGUGAUCCGCCCACCUCAGCCUCCUAAAGUGCUGGGAUUACAAGCGAGAGCCACUGUACCCGGCAGGAUGUUCACUCUUAUCACUUCUACUCACUAUUGUACCAGAGGUCUCAGCCAGUGCAAUAAGGCAAGAAAAGGAAAUAAGGGGUAAAAGGUAGAAAGGAAGAAAUAAAAAUGUCUUUGUUAUUCAUAAAUGGCAUGACUGUUUAUGUAGAAAAACCAAAAGAAUCUAUAAGCUG